GACGAACGCUGGCGGCGUGCUUAACACAUGCAAGUCGAACGGUGAAGCGCCUUCCUUUUUGGUGGGUGUGGAUGAGUGGCGAACGGGUGAGUAACACGUGAGUAACCUGCCCCCUUCUUCUGGAUAACCGCAUGAAAGUGUGGCUAAUACGGGAUAUUCUGGGUCUGUCGCAUGAUGGGUCUGGGAAAGAUAUUGUUUCGGUGGGGGAUGGGCUCGCGGCCUAUCAGCUUGUUGGUGGGGUGAUGGCCUACCAAGGCGGUGACGGGUAGCCGGCCUGAGAGGGUGGACGGUCACACUGGGACUGAGACGCGGCCCAGACUCCUACGGGAGGCAGCAGUGGGGAAUAUUGCACAAUGGGCGCAAGCCUGAUGCAGCGACGCCGCGUGAGGGAUGGAGGCCUUCGGGUUGUGAACCUCUUUCGCCAGUGAAGCAGGCCUGCCUCGUUUGUGGGUGGGUUGACGGUAGCUGGAUAAGAAGCGCCGGCUAACUACGUG
rnacentral:rRNA from 1 species